rnacentral:rRNA from 1 species
GACGAACGCUGGCGGCGUGCUUAACACAUGCAAGUCGAACGGAAAGGCCCUGCUUUUGUGGGGUGCUCGAGUGGCGAACGGGUGAGUAACACGUGAGUAACCUGCCCUUGACUUUGGGAUAACUUCAGGAAACUGGGGCUAAUACCGGAUAGGAGCUCCUGCUGCAUGGUGGGGGUUGGAAAGAUUCGGCGGUUGGGGAUGGACUCGCGGCUUAUCAGCUUGUUGGUGUGGUAGUGGCUUACCAAGGCUUUGACGGGUAGCCGGCCUGAGAGGGUGACCGGCGACAGUGGGACUGAGAUACGGCCCAGACGCGUACGGGAGGCAGCAGUGGGGAAUAUUGCACAAUGGGCGGAAGCCUGAUGCAGCAACGCCGCGUGCGGGAUGACGGCCUUCGGGUUGUGAACCGCUUUCGCCUGUGACGAGGCGUGAGUGACGGUAAUGGGUAAAGAAGCACCGGCUAACUACGUG